GUUGAUGUACAUGUGGAUGGGCUUCUUGUUGCUCUCGGAUUGCAGGAAGAGGAGCUGUGCGAUAACAAGGCUGGCAACGCUGUCAUCGAUCUGCAGGUGGAGAGGGCAGGGGUGUCCCCAGAUUCGGGGUGGGGAGAGAGUUUUAAGGGAGGCUGGGGAUGGGUCAGGGAACCAGGAAGGGGGACCAGAGCCCAAAGUAAAAGGGAUGGGGAAGAAUUUAGGCCCCAGAAGGGGAUGGGGAGAGAGUAGUGGAGAGGACCCAGGGGGUUUGGAGCACAGGAAGGGGGGAGUCAGGGGGCUAGGGACACAGGAAAGGAAGGGGUGAGAAUGGCUGGGGAGAGUCUUGAGCGUAGGAAUGAGGGGAGCGGUGCCAGGUGUCAGGAAGGAAGUCGGAGAUUAAGAGCCGAGGAGCAGAGAAGGGGUGAGGAGCGGGUUGGGGGACCGGGAGCCAGGAGGGGAGUCAGAAGGGGAGGGAAGGGGGUUAGAAGGGGAGCGGAGCCUGAGGGAAAGUCUGGGGCCAGGGAAGGAGGGGCGCAGGGAGUGUCGGCAGGCGCUUGGG
rnacentral:lncRNA from 1 species